rnacentral:piRNA from 1 species
UGGGAAGCUCCAAAAGCCAGGGGAAU